GACGAACCGUCCAAACGUUAUUCGGAAUUAUUGGGCUUAAAGGGUGCGUAGGCUGUGCAGUAAGUUGGGUGUGAAAUCCCUCGGCUCAACCGAGAAACUGCGCCGAAUACUGCUGUGCUAGAGGAAGAUAGGGGUAAGCGGAACUGAUGGUGGAGCGGUGAAAUGCGUUGAUAUCAUCAGGAACACCGGUGGCGAAGGCGGCUUACUGGAUCUUUUCUGACGCUGAUGCACGAAAGCUAGGGGAGCGAACGGG
rnacentral:rRNA from 1 species